GAGUUUGAUCGUGGCUCAGAUUGAACGCUGGCGGCAUGCCUUACACAUGCAAGUCGAACGGCAGCAUGAUCUAGCUUGCUAGAUUGAUGGCGAGUGGCGAACGGGUGAGUAAUACAUCGGAACGUGCCCUGUAGUGGGGGAUAACUAGUCGAAAGAUUAGCUAAUACCGCAUACGACCUGAGGGUGAAAGUGGGGGACCGCAAGGCCUCAUGCUAUAGGAGCGGCCGAUGUCUGAUUAGCUAGUUGGUGGGUAAAGGCCCACCAAGGCGACGAUCAGUAGCUGGUCUGAGAGGACGAUCAGCCACACUGGGACUGAGACACGGCCCAGACUCCUACGGGAGGCAGCAGUGGGGAAUUUUGGACAAUUGGCGAAAGCCUGAUCCAGCAAUGCCGCGUGUGUGAAGAAGGCC
rnacentral:rRNA from 1 species